rnacentral:misc_RNA from 1 species
AAGUCGUAACAAGGUUUCCGUAGGUGAACCUGCGGAAGGAUCAUUAACGAUUAUCCAAACUAUGGAUAAUUUAUCCAUAUCCACCUUGUGUGAACCAUUGCUUGUUGUUGUUGGCAGGUAGUCUGGUCCACUCCAGCGAGGGAGAGAUUUUUAUCGAACCUCUCAGCCUGCCAACAUUUUUUGUCUAAACGCGUUAAAUUGUAGUUUUAGUCUGAAACAUGUUAGCUUAAAUAACAAAUCAAAUACAACUUUCAACAACGGAUCUCUUGGCUCUC